ACAACACACUUGUUUUUAGGCAUUUAUCCUCUUCCUUCUGUCAGUGUCUGAAACGUAUUAAAGCCAAUCAGAAAACCAUCACACACCCUGGGCAGGAGAAGGAGGAAACCCAAAUGAAGAAACCUUCAAACACCAACCUCCCAGCAUUUCUCAGUUAUAACACAUCACGUGCCCCAACCUGGCCAACUACCCCUCACAGGCAGGAUGGUCCUACACACACAGCCUUCCAAUCUGUGCCUGCUUAUCACCCCCACGGAGCACCCAAAGUCAGGCAGCGAGCUGAGGUGGAGCAGCCAACACACGCUGCUGCAUCUCCACGGGAAGAACACGCACCUCACGAGGGCACACCGGGACCUUCCCCUCGCUGUGCCACUCCUGGAAAACACCUUCAGAGAUUCGGUUAAGGCACACAACCAAUUUCCCGAAGACAAAUAAUCCGUAUUACAGAAGCCGGAUCCCAGCUGACAGCCGCUGCACGGGACGCCAGCCAGCGACACCUGUGAGGAAGCGACCCCCCCCCCCCCCCAUAGAGAGCAGCGCGGCCCGCUCCGUCCCGCCAACAUGUCCGCUUUCUGUCACACAACUUUGCCGCCCGGUCGCCCAUCCAAACACCGACAGUAAAGCCUCCCCUCUCUCCUUCCCACCGAAAAAGAUAAAGGGGAUUAGGCGAGCAUUAUUUCCACUGACCUACAUACUCCCCUCGGCGGCCACGAGGCAGACAGCAGCUGCCCGGCCCGGGUACCCCGCUCCCGGGAGGCGGCUGCACCCCACCGCCCACCCCAACCCCUCCCGGCCUCGGCGGGGCCAGCCCCUACCUGCCACGGCGGCGGAAAGUUUCCCCCGGGAGCGGCACGGCGAACUCCGCUCGUCUCAACCACAGCGGCCGCCAGGGACGCAGCCGCACAGGCAAGCAGCAUGCUGACAUUUCAAUAUUCCUUCGGCUCAACAGUUCAGAGUACAGUCACAGCAAGAAAAGCAACCCAUGCAACCAUGAGUAGCCUGAGAUUCAUUUCACUGGAUUUCCCAAGAAUUAUACUUUAAUUUGAAAGGUAAGCCACGGUGUUAAUUUGAAGGAAUUUUGAAAAGAGGUUACAUUUUCAAGUAAAAAAGUAAAAAGAUGGAUGAAUGGUAUUUGUAUGAUAAUGAAGAGACUGGAAAGUGACAUAAAUACACUUUACAUUUUAACAGUAAUUACAAGAGACAAUGGAUGCAGUCCUAUUACACAAGACAAUGUUUAACUUUAUCUAGUGCUGGACUUUAAUUAGAAUGCAAGGGCUAAGUGCCAGUCUUAAUUUAUUCUUAUAAUUUAUGUGUUCAUUACUGACAGAAACAGGAAUGAUCAUGUAUAAAAAAAGCACACAGAAUCAUGUGACAGUUUAAAGUUGUGCAACUGUAAUUAAAAGGGAGAAAAAUAUGUAUGAAUUGAAAUAGACUGCAGUUUAUUUCAGUAACACGCUGGAGGUACUAUCAUCACGGGCACAUUAGAAAUAACAAUCAUGAUAUUUCAUCUCCCAUGCUUCUUUGUAUUACUUUUGUUAUACAUUAGUAAAUAAUGAACAUUUACAGUUGUUGUCCCUGAAAAGUUGCCCCCUGAAAGUUUUUACCUGGAAACAAUACACGAUAAAUGCAAUAUUUAUGCUUGUAGAAGACUAUGACUGUUGAAGCAUUUACAAGUAAACAAGAUGGAGAUUACUUCUUGCAAAUAAAAGGUGUUAGUAAUUUAAGAUAUCA
rnacentral:lncRNA from 1 species